rnacentral:rRNA from 1 species
GGGUUGUGAGGUUAAGCGACUAAGCGUACACGGUGGAUGCCCUGGCAGUCAGAGGCGAUGAAGGGCGUGCUAAUCUGCGAUAAGCGCCGGUAAGGUGAUAUGAACCGUUAUAACCGGCGAUACCCGAAUGGGGAAACCCAGUGUGACUCGUCACACUAUCAUUAACUGAAUCCAUAGGUUAAUGAGGCGAACCGGGGGAACUGAAACAUCUAAGUACCCCGAGGAAAAGAAAUCAACCGAGAUUCCCCCAGUAGCGGCGAGCGAACGGGGAGGAGCCCAGAGCCUGAAUCAGCAUGUGUGUUAGUGGAAGCGUCUGGAAAGGCGCGCGAUACAGGGUGACAGCCCCGUACACAAAAGCGCAUGUGCUGUGAGCUCGAUGAGUAGGGCGGGACACGUGGUAUCCUGUCUGAAUAUGGGGGGACCAUCCUCCAAGGCUAAAUACUCCUGACUGACCGAUAGUGAACCAGUACCGUGAGGGAAAGGCGAAAAGAACCCCGGCGAGGGGAGUGAAAAAGAACCUGAAACCGUGUACGUACAAGCAGUGGGAGCACCCUUUGGGUGUGACUGCGUACCUUUUGUAUAAUGGGUCAGCGACUUAUAUUCUGUAGCAAGGUUAACCGAAUAGGGGAGCCGGAGGGAAACCGAGUCUUAAUUGGGCGUUAAGUUGCAGGGUAUAGACCCGAAACCCGGUGA